ACGAGAGACCCUAGUUGACUCACACGGCGUAAAGAGUGGUUAUGGAAUCAUUAAACUAAAGCCGAAAGCCCCCCAGACUGUCAUACGCAUCCGGGAGCCAGAACUCCACUUUACGAAAGUAGCUUUACCAACGCCCACCAGAACCCACGAUAGCUGGGGCACAAACUGGGAUUAGAUACCCCACUAUG
rnacentral:rRNA from 1 species